rnacentral:rRNA from 1 species
ACGGAGGGUGCAAGCGUUAUCCGGAUUUACUGGGUUUAAAGGGUGCGUAGGCGGACUGUUAAGUCAGAGGUGAAAUCCCCGAGCUCAACUCGGAAACUGCCCCUGAUACUAUCAGUCUUGAAUAUCGUUGAGGUAGGCGGAAUACAACAUGUAGCGGUGAAAUGCUUAGAUAUGUUGUAGAACACCGAUUGCGAAGGCAGCUUACUAAACGAUUAUUGACGCUGAGGCACGAAAGCGUGGGGAUCAAACAG